AAGCCGCCACGGUAAUACGUAGGGUGCAAGCGUUAAUCGGAAUUACUGGGCGUAAAGCGUGCGCAGGCGGUUUGUUAAGACAGAUGUGAAAUCCCCGGGCUUAACCUGGGAACUGCAUUUGUGACUGGCAAGCUAGAGUCUGGCAGAGGGGGGUGGAAUUCCGCGUGUAGCAGUGAAAUGCGUAGAUAUGCGGAGGAACACCGAUGGCGAAGGCAGCCCCCUGGGCCAACACUGACGCUCAUGCACGAAAGCGUGGGGAGCAAACAGGAUUAGAUACCCCCGUAGUCCCUGUCUCUUAUAC
rnacentral:rRNA from 1 species